rnacentral:lncRNA from 1 species
AGAUACAGACAGCCUAAAAGCUCUCAAAUUAGAUUCUCAUAAGGGAGAAAAACCUAACUGUGGAUGUUACUCUUGAAUUUUUAUUUUAUAUCGUAUUUAUCUAGGUGUUUCAGAAAGUCUUUCAUAUUAUGAGAAAACUGCUGAAAGGGAGAGAAAAAGGUCACCAUCCAAAUUCAUCACAAGACUGUCUGCAAUUGCUACGCGGUCUCUCAGACUGGCUAUGUGAGGUGUAUAUGCUAUUCCUGUCAAAUCAGGAUAAGGAACAAACUGCUAUGCACAGAUCGAUGUGUUCAGCUGACGUGUGGACAGGAUCUGCUGGAAUAGACUCGGAGGGAAUUUUAAGUACACGACCUUCAAGCAUCAGGAGCGAAUGACUGCAACUGAAAUAUUGUUCUUGAAGUCAGUGCAUUUCUGAAUAACCCAGCUGUUUACAGGUGGCAUUUCUCUGCUGGAAUCCUCUAUUAGACAUGCUGACUUGUAGCAGUGUGUAUUCCUAUCCUGUAAUGAAGGAAGGGAGACCAUUUGGAAAACGUAAGGCCAGUAAUCUUAUUUGUCACUAGGUUAUCUGUAGGUUACAUAGAAAGUCAUUGCUUUCUAGCGCCUAAUGAGCUCUUUGCAUUUGACCAUUAUUAGUCUUUCUUGAAACUAAGCCCUCUGGGCAGCUGUCAGUCAUUUCUGUGUAAUGACACAGGGCAUGGGUAUUUCGGGAUAGAAAAUACCUCAUUUUUCUUUUUAGUUCUAUUAGAAAGAUUUUUUUUUUCCUCCUUGUAUGCAAGGAAAUGUAUAUUUUAUAUCCAUGCAUACAAAUGGAUUACAAAAUCUGUGUGACCUCAUUUCCUUGAGUCUAGGCUCCUCGGUUCAGUAAAUGCCAUGCUCCAAUAAUAUGGAUGGCAAUCCCGAAGAAGGUUGUAGUGAGUCACCAUACAACACCUAUAACAAGACAGAAACCACAUUGUCACCAGUUAAUUUUUUUCCAGUAGGAAACAAAAACCCGAAGCAAGCCGGCCAGCACUAACGGAGAAAUGCUGGCCCGCCGCUCUGUCCCUUCCGUUGCAACAGAAGUCGUGCUGGCUGACAACAAGGGCACAAACCUGGCAGGUUAGCUGCAGGUGGCUGAUCCCCAUUUCCCCCCAAACCCAGGAAAUACAAACUCAAGGGAAGCUUGAGAACAAGAAUAUUUCUUGUUCUUAAAAUUCAUUCUUAAUCCAGGAGAUUUGAUAUGAAAUUAUAGUCCUAUCAAUAAAGAAUUUAUUAAAAAGGGC